UGAAUCUAUGACCGGUAUUGCAUGGCCGUCGUAAGUCCCUGUGUUAAACUAAAAGGGACCCAAUCCGGGCGUUUGCCUGAAGGAAGUCAGGUCUUAUGAUCCGAAUGUUGGGGGAUUUAUGCGCUACAUUUUCUUAUAUAAUGAGAGACUUGAGAGGUAAGCCUCUAAAGUAAGAGUUCGGAAGGUCGCUGUAAAACGACUGGAAGUUGGAUUUAAUAGUAAUCGGAAAGUAGAGCGUUCCGGUGAAU
rnacentral:rRNA from 1 species